rnacentral:lncRNA from 1 species
AAGAUGAGCUCUCUCACUCCAUACCUGGGGCCAUAUGAAGAGAAUUAAGAUGGAAAAAGGCAACUGGCAACUUGUGUUUGUUUCGGAGGCAGUCCAGGCUGGGGGAAAAGAUCUCCAUUCUAACGUGUGGAGCCAUCAUGGGCAAGUCACUCUGGUCUCAGUGUCUUCAAGGGUAAAUGAUAACCCUGAUUAAGAUGUUCAGAGGAGAAGCCUCCCGCUGUAGGAAGCCAGGCCACAUUUGACAUAAGAGGCCCUGGGUUCUCGCCUCCAAGGACAUUUAGGCAUUCUGCCUACUCCAGCCACUUGUGCCAUGGCCAUGCUGGUUAGAGGGAGACCUGGGACGAGACGAAAAGGCCAGCAGACUGUGACAGUCAGAAGAAUGCUAAGGAAGAGCUUGCAGACCUGGGCCACUCAGAGCCCCAAGGACACUGAGCGAGAGGAAAGGCUGUGUCCCCGCCGGCCGUCUCCUGUCUGCCCUCACAGACGGAUAGCCCCUUCCAUUCACGUCCACAUGCGUCUAUUCUCUGCCUCUUGAGAGGGUCGGAAACUGGAAAACAUCUGCACUGGCUUCGCCGGGUGUGAUUUAUAAGGACUCCCCGCGGUGCCUCUCCCUUCUCCUCCUCUUCACCUCUGGGGCCGGGGGGGUUUCGGUCUUUUUGUUUUUAAACAGGCUUGUGUUUCUUGAGACUGGGUCACCUUGAUUUAUUAUGCCCUGGACUCAUUAACAAAAGACUCGGGGACAGGUCAUUUAUUUUCUGAGUGGCGAUUUCCUGUCCUACCCCAGCCCUGCUCGGCAGGGUCCUGGUGGAGCACAGACAGAUUAGCUGCACCGUCACCACGGGAGGACGAAACUGAGCAAGGAAGCCCUUUUCCUACGAGCUUUUCUCCUCACUUUAAUGAUUUCCUUCAGAGUCUCUUUUGGUAGUUUUUUCCUUUUCUCCUCCUCCAGCAAAUGGGACAAAGUUUAAAGAACAAGUUUUGGGGCUGCCUUCUUAAAGGAACAAACACUCACCCUUCUUCUCCAUCUCAUAUUUGAAUAGUCUAACAUUUAU